rnacentral:rRNA from 1 species
AUGCACAAGGCGUCGUCGCUGUCGGAGCUGGGCUUCGACUCCGGCGGCGCGUCGUCGGGCUUCUUCCGGCCCGUGGCCGACGGCUGCCCGGUCACCCGACCUCCUCCGCCGUCCCGCACCGCCGCCUCACCAAGAUCUCCGUCAUCGGCGCCGGCAACGUGGGCAUGGCCAUCGCGCAGACCAUCCUCACCCAGAACCUGGCCGACGAGAUCGCGCUCGUCGACGCGCUCCCCGACAAGCUCCGCGGCGAGGCGCUCGACCUGCAGCACGCCGCCGCCUUCCUCCCGCGCGUCCGCAUCGUCUCCGGCACCGACGCCGCCGUCACCAAGAACUCCGACCUCGUCAUCGUCACGGCCGGGGCCAGGCAGAUCCCCAGCGAGACCAGGCUCAACCUGCUGCAGCGGAACGUCGCCCUCUACCGCAAGAUCGUGCCGCCCGUCGCCAAGCACUCCCAGGACGCGCUGCUGCUCGUCGUCUCCAACCCCGUCGACGUGCUCACCUACGUCGCAUGGAGGCUCUCCGGCUUCCCCGCCAGCCGCGUCAUCGGCUCCGGCAUACAUGGUGGGUGAGCACGGCGACAGCUCGGUGGCGAUCUGGUCAAGCAUCAGCGUGGGCGGGAUGCCGGCGUUCAAGUCGCUGCGCGACAGCCACCGGAACUUCGACGAGGCGGCGCUGGAGGGGAUCCGGCGCGCCGUGGUGGGCGGCGCCUACGAGGUGAUCGGCCUCAAGGGGUACACCUCUUGGGCCAUUGGCUACUCUGUUGCCAGCCUCGCUGCUUCCCUCCUCCGCGACCAGCGUCGCGUGCACCCUGUCUCUGUCCUUGCCUCGGGCUUCCAUGGCAUCUCAGACGGCCACGAGGUGUUCCUCAGCCUGCCCGCCCGCCUCGGCCGCGGCGGCAUCCUCGGCGUCGCCGAGAUGGACCUCACCGAGGCCGAGGCCGCGCAGCUCCGGCGCUCGGCCAAGACGCUCUGGGAGAACUGCCAGCUCCUCGACCUCUGA